rnacentral:rRNA from 1 species
UGCAUAUCAAAAAGCGGAGGAAAAGAAACCAACAGGGAUUGCCCCAGUAACGGCGAGUGAAGCGGCAACAGCUCAAAUUUGAAAUCUGGCCUCGGCCCGAGUUGUAAUUUGCAGAGGAUGCUUCUGGCGCGGCGCCUUCCGAGUUCCCUGGAACGGGACGCCACAGAGGGUGAGAGCCCCGUAUGGUCGGACGCCAAGCCAGUGUGAAGCUCCUUCGAAGAGUCGAGUAGUUUGGGAAUGCUGCUCUAAGCGGGAGGUAUACGUCUUCUAAAGCUAAAUACCGGCCAGAGACCGAUAGCGCACAAGUAGAGUGAUCGAAAGAUGAAAAGCACCUUGAAAAGGGGGUUAAACAGUACGUGAAAUUGUUGAAAGGGAAGCGCCUGUGACCAGACUUGCGCCGGGCGGAUCAUCCAGCGUUCUCGCUGGUGCGCUCCGCCCGGCUCAGGCCAGCAUCGGUUCUGGCGGGGGGAUAAAGGCGGCGGGAACGUGGCUCCCCCGGGAGUGUUAUAGCCCGCCGUGCAAUGCCCCCGCUGGGACCGAGGUUCGCGCAUCUGCAAGGAUGCUGGCGUAAUGGUCACCAGCGACCCGUCUUGAAACAACGGACCAA